UUUAAUAAUCCAUUCUAGUGUCAGAUUGGAGUUUUGCCUUUUGGUACGGGCAAUGACCUUGCCAGGGUACUUGGUUGGGGGUCAGCUUUUGAUGACGACACCCAGUUACCUGCAGCCCUGGAGAGAUUGGAACAAGCACAGAUCAAAAUGUUGGACAGAUGGAGUAUAAUGGCUUACGAAGGUAACAUGCCCCCACCUAGAAAAUUAUCUAUGCAGAAUGAUGCAAUGUCCCAGUAUGAAGACAGUAUGGCAAACCAUUUAAC
rnacentral:sRNA from 1 species